GAUGAACGCUGGCGGCGUGCUUAACACAUGCAAGUCGAGCGAAGCGAUUUAAAUGAGACUUCGGUGGAUUUUAAAUUGACUGAGCGGCGGACGGGUGAGUAACGCGUGGAUAACCUGCCUCACACAGGGGGAUAACAGUUAGAAAUGACUGCUAAUACCGCAUAAGCGCACGGUACUGCAUGGUACAGUGUGAAAAACUCCGGUGGUGUGAGAUGGAUCCGCGUCUGAUUAGGUAGUUGGUGAGGUAACGGCCCACCAAGCCGACGAUCAGUAGCCGACCUGAGAGGGUGACCGGCCACAUUGGGACUGAGACACGGCCCAAACUCCUACGGGAGGCAGCAGUGGGGAAUAUUGCACAAUGGGCGAAAGCCUGAUGCAGCAACGCCGCGUGAGUGAAGAAGUAUCUCGGUAUGUAAAGCUCUAUCAGCAGGGAA
rnacentral:rRNA from 1 species